UCCACUAGAGGCCAUAUUGGGAUGGGACAAUGGAUGCAAAAAAGAAAUAAGUAAAUGAACAAGAGAAAAUCACUUGAAUCACUCGCAUUUUAGAGACCUUGACAUCUAUAUAUGUACAGGUUGUAGGUUGGGCAUUAGAUGGGAGCUUUCGAUUCAUUGAAGGCAGGUUCAACUGCCACUGUUUUUGUCAUCAAGAAUUCUGCGGCUGUAUCACUGCCCGGUGCUAGAAAUGGGCCCAAUCACAUAAAUUCUUUGAAGUGGUCAGAAUCUUGUACAUGGAUCACUGUAAUGUAGAGCAUAUUUUUACCAAAAUAGUUACCAUUUUUACUAGUGCCGUUUCCAGGUCUUGAAUGUGGGCCUCUUUGUUGGUGUUAAGGUUUUCUUGGCUCAUCGGAGGAAACCUCAUUUUUG
rnacentral:misc_RNA from 1 species